CCUACGGGAGGCAGCAGUGAGGAAUCUUGCGCAAUGGGCGAAAGCCUGACCCAGCAACACCGCGUGGGGGAUGAAGGCCCUCGGGUCGUAAACCCCUUUUGUCGGGGAAGAUGAUGACGGUACCCGACGAAUAAGCCUCGGCUAACUACGUGCCAGCAGCCGCGGUAAUACGUAGGAGGCGAGCGUUGUCCGGAUUUACUGGGCGUAAAGAGCGCAUAGGCGGCCGGUUAAGUCCGAGGUGAAAUCUCCCGGCCUAACUGGGAGGGGGCCUCGGAUACUGGCAGGCUGGAGUGCGGCAGAGGGGGGUGGAAUUCCCGGUGUAGUGGUGAAAUGCGUAGAUAUCGGGAGGAACACCAGUGGCGAAGGCGGCCUCCUGGGUUGGCACUGACGCUCAUGCACGAAAGCGUGGGGAGCAAACAGGAUUAGAUCCCCCUGUAGU
rnacentral:rRNA from 1 species